GCAGUCGAACGCUUUUUCUUUCACCGGAGCUUGCUCCACCGAAAGAAGAGGAGUGGCGAACGGGUGAGUAACACGUGGGUAACCUGCCCAUCAGAAGGGGAUAACACUUGGAAACAGGUGCUAAUACCGUAUAACAGUAGAAACCGCAUGGUUUCUAUUUGAAAGGCGCUUUUGCGUCACUGAUGGAUGGACCCGCGGUGCAUUAGCUAGUUGGUGAGGUAACGGCUCACCAAGGCAACGAUGCAUAGCCGACCUGAGAGGGUGAUCGGCCACAUUGGGACUGAGACACGGCCCAAACUCCUACGGGAGGCAGCAGUAGGGAAUCUUCGGCAAUGGACGAAAGUCUGACCGAGCAACGCCGCGUGAGUGAAGAAGGUUUUCGGAUCGUAAAACUCUGUUGUUAGAGAAGAACAAGGAUGA
rnacentral:rRNA from 1 species